CUCUCUCUCUCUCUCUCCCUCUGUCUCUCUCUCUCUCUCUCUGUCUCUCUGUCUCUCUCUGUUUCUCUCUCUCUGUCCUCGUGGCCUCGCUGGCAUUCAAGGUCUUCGCAAAAUUAAGUGGUCUGCAGUGAUAUUAUUUAAAGGUCAUUCAGAGUCUUCAUACAUAUAUUAUUUUUACCAUCCAGUAAAGAUUCUGCUUUAUUCAACAUCACUUCAGCAUGAACCAAUUAUGAAGUAUUACUGUGCUCCGCGUUGAAUGUACUGUUCACCAAGUGGAGUAUAAAUUAGCUGUAUUUCAGUCCUGACAUCACAAUUCACAAGUGUGACUUUAGCUAAUUAUCAUGGUUUAUUUUUAGUAUUGAUUUUAAGGGGGUGUUAAUCUUCUUCAAAAACGUUAUUAAAAUUUUUGUUGAAAUUAUGAUUAUGAGAUUAUAAUUGAAAUGUCACAGACUUGGCGACUUCGUGUCAGUUCAAAUCGAUGCGCUGUAGCUCAUUUCUCAAGAUUGCCAACUAUAGAUUCAACAAUGUUUUUUCACUUCCUCAGCUCGUGUGGAUUAAAAGAAAUAGAAAGAAUGAGUCAUAAAACUCCUUAAAUUUAAAAUACAAUUAUGUGAGGAGAUGCAAAUAUUCAGCCGACUCUGAAGCGAUGGAUCAUUACUGGAAGGUGAAGGUGCAGUCAGACACCUUUGUGUUAUCGGUUAUUCUCUCAACAUUGGCCAUCCGGCGCAUCGCUUCAGGUCAUACAGGAAAGAAUGGCAGCACUAGGUGAAACUAAGUACAGGUUGGAAAGGGCAAACAUUGCUAUAAUUAAGUCUGUGUAGGAAAGGGUAUUUCUGAAUACUGAAAAGAGAUGAAAAUAAAGAGUUUAACGUAACAGAGAGAGAAGUAUGAGCCACGCAGGCGUUUUCCAAAUGAGUGGCGUGUUUUGACAUCACGUCUGAAAAAGCCACAUAACGUCCUGGGUCCGUUCUCUUCUCAUUUCCCUUCCCCCACAUUUCCUGUGACAGAAGAAACCUUUGUUAAGGGAUUCAUCGGCUCUCGCCUGCUUUACCACAAUGUCAAACCUAUCCAACUUAAUCCGUUCAGAUAAUAUUAUAUACUGUAUAUCAUGUGCAUCACCUGGGCAGUUCAUAUUUUCCUUUUACAUUAAGAACAGCUACUUUCAACUAACAGAGGAACAGCAAUAAAAAUACGUAAUGUGUCAUUAGUGAUAAACUGUAAUGCAGAAACUGUGUUUUACACUCAAGCAUUUAUUCCCCUAUAGAAAUAUAAAUUAUAUAUUAAAAUAGAUUUUAAGUGUCCAUGAAGUCAAAAUACUGAUUAAGGAAAAUUAUAAGGUAAUGCUAAAAAUAUAAUAAUAUAAAAUAAUUUUCUGUAAAUUAUAGUGGGUCCAGUGUAGACUCCUGUGGGACUCCAUUUGUUGAUGAUGACAUGGCAAGUUGUCCUUCCCUUGAAAAUGGACAUGGAAUAAACCUGGGAAAUAUAUAUAUAUAUAUAUAUAUAUAU
ensembl:lncRNA